AUUGAACGCUGGCGGCAGGCCUAACACAUGCAAGUCGAGCGGUUGAAGGGAGCUUGCUCCCUGAUUCAGCGGCGGACGGGUGAGUAAUGCCUAGGAAUCUGCCUAUUAGUGGGGGACAACGUUUCGAAAGGAACGCUAAUACCGCAUACGUCCUACGGGAGAAAGCAGGGGACCUUCGGGCCUUGCGCUAAUAGAUGAGCCUAGGUCGGAUUAGCUUGUUGGUGAGGUAAUGGCUCACCAAGGCGACGAUCCGUAACUGGUCUGAGAGGAUGAUCAGUCACACUGGAACUGAGGCACGGUCCAGACUCCUACGGGAGGCAGCAGUGGGGAAUAUUGGACAAUGGGCGAAAGCCUGAUCCAGCCAUGCCGCGUGUGUGAAGAAGGUCUUCGGAUUGCAAAGCACUUUAAGUUGGGAGGAAGGGUUGUAGAUUAAUACUCUGCAAUUUUGACGUUACCGACAGAAUAAGCACCGGCUAACUCUGUGCCAGCAGCCGCAGUAACAC
rnacentral:rRNA from 1 species